GCGGCUCCGCCUCUCCGGGGCCGGGCUGCACGGCGGCCAAUGAGGCGCGACCACGAGGGCUCCAAAACACCGAGAGGGCGGGGGUAGGGGACGGUCCUCCUCUGGGUCGACCGGCUGAAGCAGCACGUGUCUCUGGCUGUUAAUGAUCCGAGGUUGGCGGGAGACCCGCGAAGGUCCUUGUCCACUCUCGGCUCCAGGACUCACCCAGGACUUAUUCAAGUCGGAACUGGAACUUAAGCACUUGUCACCUUUACUUUCCUGUAGCCUCACAUCUAUUACAGCUACCUUAAGAAGUUGUCUGCAUCCUGUCGGGGCUCAGAAACCUGACACACAACUUCUUGGUUACCUUGUGAGUUCCAGUGAAGAAGAAAAUCAUUGAUGAAUGGCUCUAAAUAAAAAUCAAGAGUCUGGGUAUCCUGAUGAAACCCUAUUUGCUACCUGCUUUUGAUGAACUCCAAUACUCAAGAGGGGCUGUUUCAAGAGAAGCCCAGACUGAGGCCUGGGACGAGCCUGCCAAGUGUGGGCUGCCAAUGGCUCUUAUUGCCAUGAGCUGGUGGGCAAGAGGGCAGGUAAAAAGAUCUACAAGUACUUGACAUAUCAGCUCAAUAAACAGCCCAUUUGGACCCA